AGCCCGGUCGUCUAGCGGCCAAUCCGGCUGGUCAGACCGAGGGGCCAAGGAUCCCGGGCUCUGGAUCCAUAAGGGGAGGAGAGCCCCGGGGACGCCGGUUCGAAUCCGGCCCGGGCUACCA
rnacentral:tRNA from 1 species